rnacentral:tRNA from 1 species
GGGGACGUAGCUCAGUUGGAAGAGCGCCACAAUGGCAUUGUGGAGGUCGUGAGUUCGAGACUCAUCGUCUCCA